UACGUAGGGUGCAAGCGUUGUCCGGAAUUAUUGGGCGUAAAGCGCGCGUAGGCGGCUUUGCAAGUCGGGUGUGAAAGCCCUCAGCUCAACUGAGGAAGUGCGCCCGAAACUGCAGAGCUUGAGUGCCGGAGAGGGUGGCGGAAUUCCCCCAAGUAGAGGUGAAAUUCGUAGAUAUGGGGGAGGAACACCGGGUGGCGAAGGCGGCCACCUGGACGGUAACUGACGCUGAGACGCGAAAGCGUGGGGAGCAAACAGG
rnacentral:rRNA from 1 species